GACGAACGCUGGCGGCGUGCCUAAUACAUGCAAGUCGAACGCACAGUUUAUACCGUAGCUUGAUACACCAUAGACUGUGAGUUGCGAACGGGUGAGUAACGCGUAGGUAUCCUGCCUGGUAGCGGGGGAUAACUAUUGGAAACGAUAGCUAAUACCGCAUAAUAUUUAUUAUUGCAUGAUAAUUACUUGAAAGUUGCAAUUGCACCACUACCAUAUGGACCUGCGUUGUAUUAGCUAGUAGGUUAGGUAACGGCUCACCUAGGCGACGAUACAUAGCCGACCUGAGAGGGUGAUAGGACAAACUGGGACGGAGACACGGCCAAGACUACUACGGGAGGCAGCAGGAGGGAAUCUUCGGCAAUGGACGAAAGGCUGAACGAGCAACGCCGCGUGAGUGAAGAAGGUUUUCGGAUCGUAAAGCUCAGUUGUAAGAGAAGAACGGGUGUGAGAGUGGAAAGUGCACACUGUGACGGUAUCUUAACAGAAAGGGACGGCUAACUACGUG
rnacentral:rRNA from 1 species